ensembl:lncRNA
CUUUACAUUGCCAACAAGCAUCGGAGGAGAGGGGAUCUAAAGGAAGUCCUGUGUUUGUGUGACAGAGAGAGAGAAAUAGAGGGAGCGAGAGAGAGAGAAAUAGAGGGAGAGAGAAUUAGAGAGAGAGAGAGUGAGAGAGAGAGAGAGAGAAAAUAGAGGGAGAGAAAUAGAGAGAGUGAGAAAGAGAGAGAGAGAGAGAAAAUAGAAAGAGAGAAUUAGAGAGAGAGAGAGAGAGAGAGAGAGAGAGAGAGAGAGGGGGGGGGCUUAGAGAGAGGUUAGAGACAGAGAGAGAGAGAGAGAGAGAGAGAGAGAGAGAGAGAGAGAGAGAGAGAGAGAGAGGGAGUUGAGAGAGAGAGGUUAGAGAGAGAGAGAGAGAGAGAGAGAGAGGGAGAGAGAGAGGGAGAGAGAGAGGGAGUUGAGAGAGAGAGGUUAGAGACAGAGAGAGAGAGAGGGAGAGAGAGAGGGAAUUGAGAGAGAGAGGUUAGAGACAGAGAGUGAGGGGAAGGAAACACUACAUAAAGAGACAGAAGAGAGCCCUUCCUGGAACUCUCCAGUCCUCUCUGACUGCCGUCGCUCGCUGAGGGAGAAAGACAGCAGUGUUUUAAAGAGGAACAGAGUACCUGGUUGUCAUUCUGCUGAGGGCUGAGACAAACAGAGGAGAAGAAGACAUGUCUGGUCAUUUACUAAGGAGAAACUCCAGCAAGGAAGGUCUGCAGAACCUGCUCAGGUACGAGAAGUGGAGUUUUGAUACUCCUUCUGCCAGGUGUUGGUGUGUGUUGGUCCUUCUGCCAGGUGUUGGUGUGUGUUGGUCCUUCUGCCAGGUGUUGGUGUGUGUUAGUUGGUGUUUCUGCCAGGUCUUGGUGUGUGUUGGUCCUUCUGCCAGGUGUUGGUGUGUGUUAGUUGGUCCUUCUGCCAGGUGUUGGUGUGUGUGUUAGUUGGUGUUUCUGCCAGGUGUUGGUGUGUGUUAGUUGGUGUUUCUGCCAGGUGUUGGUGUGUGU